rnacentral:tRNA from 1 species
GUAGCUGUAGCUCAGUGGUAGAGUGCUUGCCUUGCAUGCAUGAGGCCCUGGGUUUGAUCUCCAGUAGUAUA